AUCCAUUGAAUAUCUUUCUCUCUUAUCCAUAAAGCUACUUCACGAACCAAAUCAUGCAUCUUCACGCAUUCUUCAUUAUUUUAGAUUGAUAAU